GCUGUAUUCAUAUUGUAUUGUCGUGAAGCUUCAGAAUCACCUCGGGUCUGCCAGCCAUCGUUAGUGCAGGAGGCUACGCCUGGCUGAGCUGUGCGCUCCGGCGACAACAAAAGAGCAAUCAUGACUAGUGGGGGGAAAUCAGCGUGAGCUUGCCCGUCAGAAGAAUGCUAAGAAGAACAAUGAACAUGCCAAAGGGAAGAGAAAUGAGGAUGGCCUCUCAGCAGCUGCCCGAAAGCAAAGUAUUAUUGUAUUUCAGAGAUGCUGAAAUCAUGCAGCAGAAGCAAAAAAAGGCAAAAGAGAAGGUGGACCCUAAAGGCAAUUAACCAGUGGCUGGC